UAUUAGGGUGGCAGAGCCAGGUAAUUGCGUAAGACUUAAAACCUUGUUCCCAGAGGUUCAAAUCCUCUCCCUAAUAG
rnacentral:tRNA from 1 species